GGAAAGAUGAAAAGAACUUUGAAAAGAGAGUUAAACAGUACGUGAAAUUGUUGAAAGGGAAACGAUUGAAGUCAGUCGUGCUGGCGCGAAAUCAACCCUCUCGUCGAGAGGACACAUGGCGUGGCGAGCCUCAAAACCGUCACGAAGCGUGAACUCCUGGCGAAAAGGAGCACUUUCGUGUCCGCUGGUUAACAUCAAUUUCGAACGUCAUAAAAAGGCUGGAGGGAUGUGGCUCCUUCGGGAGUGUUAUAACCUUUAGCGGAAUGUGGUGGUCGGGAUUGAGGAUUGCAACGAAUACCUUUAGGGCUGUUCCACCUGGCUUCUCUUUGGUAUCCUGGUGACGACAGCUUGCUGACGUUGUUAGGAUUCGCCUUUGAACAGGCUAGAGUGUGAGCAAAUUCGUUAAGGAUGUUAACGUAAUGGCUUUAAACGACCGUCUUGAAACACGGACCA
rnacentral:rRNA from 1 species